GAUGAACGCUGGCGGCGCGCCUAACACAUGCAAGUCGAACGGCCGGACCCACCUCGGUGGGCGAGGCAGUGGCGAACGGCUGAGUAACACGUGGGCAACCUGCCCCCCUCCCGGGACCAGCCUCGGGAAACCGUGGGUAAUACCGGAUACACCCCGACCGCCGCAUGGCGCCGGGGGAAAGGCUCCGGCGGGGGGGAGUGGCCCGCGGCCUGUUAGCUAGUUGGCGGGGCAACGGCCCACCAAGGCGACUAUGGGUAGCUGGGUUGAGAGACCGACCAGCCAGAUUGGGACUGAGACACGGCCCAG
rnacentral:rRNA from 1 species